GACGAACGCUGGCGGCGUGCCUAAUACAUGCAAGUAGAACGCUGAAGGAGGAGCUUGCUUCUCUGGAUGAGUUGCGAACGGGUGAGUAACGCGUAGGUAACCUGCCUGGUAGCGGGGGAUAACUAUUGGAAACGAUAGCUAAUACCGCAUAAGAGUAGAUGUUGCAUGACAUUUGCUUAAAAGGUGCAAUUGCAUCACUACCAGAUGGACCUGCGUUGUAUUAGCUAGUUGGUGGGGUAACGGCUCACCAAGGCGACGAUACAUAGCCGACCUGAGAGGGUGAUCGGCCACACUGGGACUGAGACACGGCCCAGACUACUACGGGAGGCAGCAGUAGGGAAUCUUCGGCAAUGGACGGAAGUCUGACCGAGCAACGCCGCGUGAGUGACGAAGGUUUUCGGAUCGUAAAGCUCUGUUGUAAGAGAAGAACGAGUGUGAGAGUGGAAAGUUCACACUGUGACGGUAUCUUACCAGAAAGGGACGGCUAACUACGUG
rnacentral:rRNA from 1 species